CCUACGGGAGGCAGCAGUGGGGAAUUUUGGACAAUGGGCGAAAGCCUGAUCCAGCAAUGCCGCGUGAGUGAAGAAGGCCUUCGGGUUGUAAAGCUCUUUUGUCAGGGAAGAAACGGUGCGGGCUAAUAUCCUGCACUAAUGACGGUACCUGAAGAAUAAGCACCGGCUAACUACGUGCCAGCAGCCGCGGUAAUACGUAGGGUGCAAGCGUUAAUCGGAAUUACUGGGCGUAAAGCGUGCGCAGGCGGUUUUGUAAGUCUGUCGUGAAAUCCCCGGGCUCAACCUGGGAAUUGCGAUGGAGACUGCAAGGCUAGAAUCUGGCAGAGGGGGGUAGAAUUCCACGUGUAGCAGUGAAAUGCGUAGAGAUGUGGAGGAACACCGAGGGCGAAGGCAGCCCCCUGGGUCAAGAUUGACGCUCAUGCACGAAAGCGUGGGGAGCAAACAGGAUUAGAUACCCUGGUAGUCCACGCCCUAAACGAUGUCUACUAGUUGUCGGGUUUUAAUUAACUUGGUAACGCAGCUAACGCGUGAGUAGACCGCCGUCGGGAGGUACGGUCGCGAAGAAUUAAAACUAACAAUAGAAGUUAGACGGCGUGAGACGUGACCGAACGGACGACGACGAGGGAGGUUAGG
rnacentral:rRNA from 1 species